rnacentral:rRNA from 1 species
AUAUCAAUAAGCGGAGGAAAAGAAACCAACCGGGAUUACCUUAGUAACGGCGAGUGAAGCGGUAAAAGCUCAAAUUUGAAAUCUAGUACCUUCGGUGCUCGAGUUGUAAUUUGUAGAGGGAUACUUUGGGGCCGUUCCUUGUCUAUGUUCCUUGGAACAGGACGUCAUAGAGGGUGAGAAUCCCGUGUGGCGAGGAGUGCGGUUCUAUGUAAAGUGCUCUCGAAGAGUCGAGUUGUUUGGGAAUGCAGCUCUAAGUGGGUGGUAAAUUCCAUCUAAAGCUAAAUAUUGGCGAGAGACCGAUAGCGAACAAGUACAGUGAUGGAAAGAUGAAAAGAACUUUGAAAAGAGAGUGAAAAAGUACGUGAAAUUGUUGAAAGGGAAGGGCAUUUGAUCAGACAUGGUGUUUUGUGCCCUCUGCUCCUUGUGGGUGGGGGAAUCUCGCAGCUCACUGGGCCAACAUCAGUUUUGGCGGCAGGAUAAAUCUAUAGGAAUGUAGCUUGCUUCGGUAAGUGUUAUAGCCUGUGGGAAUACUGCCAGCUGGGACUGAGGACUGCGACUUUGUCAAGGAUGUUGGCAUAAUGGUU